rnacentral:rRNA from 1 species
CCUACGGGAGGCAGCAGUGGGGAAUAUUGCGCAAUGGGCGAAAGUCUGACGCAGCGACGCCGCGUGAGGGAUGAAGGACUUCGGAACGUAAACCUCUGUCAGCAGGGAAGAACGGUCACUGUGCUAAUCAACAGUGAAUGGACGGUAACUGCAAAGGAGGCACCGGCUAACUCAGUGCCCGAAGCCGCGGUAAUACGGAGGGUGCGAGAGUUAAUCGGAAUUACUGGGCGUAAAGGGAUGGAAGGCGGUAUGUCAAGUCAAGGGUGAAAUCCCCGCGCUCAACGUGGGAACUGCCUUUGAAACUGGCAAACUGGAGUGUGUGAGAGGAUAGUGGAAUUCCAGGUGUAGGAGUGAAAUCCGUAGAUAUCUGGAGGAACAUCAGUGGCGAAGGCGACUAUCUGGCACAUAACUGACGCUGAGGAGCGAAAGCGUGGGUAGCAAACAGGAUUAGAUACCCCGGUAGUC